AUUGAACGCUGGCGGCAGGCCUAACACAUGCAAGUCGAGCGGAGCGGCGGACGUGUGAGUAAUGCCUAGGAAUCUGCCUGGUAGUGGGGGAUAACGUCCGGAAACGGGCGCUAAUACCGCAUACUAUCAGAUGAGCCUAGGUCGGAUUAGCUAGUUGGUGGGGUAAAGACCUACCAAGGCGACGAUCCGUAACUGGUCUGAGAGGAUGAUCAGUCACACUGGAACGGAGACACGGUCCAGACUCCGACGGGAGGCAGAAGUUGGGAAUAUUGGACCAUGGGCGAAAGCCUGAUGCAGCCAUGCCGCGUGUAUGAAGAAGGCCUUAGGGUUGUAAAGUACUUUCAGCGGGGAGGCGUUACCCACAGAAGAAGCACCGGCUAACUCCGUGCCAGCAGCCGCGGUAAUUC
rnacentral:rRNA from 1 species